rnacentral:rRNA from 1 species
AUUGAACGCUGGCGGCAGGCCUAACACAUGCAAGUCGAACGAGUGGGGACGGGUGAGUAACACGUGGGUAACCUCCCAUCAGAGGGGAUAACACUUGGAAACAGGUGCUAAACCGAUACUGAUGGAUGAACACGCGGUGCAUGAGCGAGUUGGUGAGGUAACGGCUCACCAAGGCCACGAUGCAUAGCAGACCUGAGAGGGUGUCCGGCCACACUGGGACUGAGACACGGCCCAGACUCCUACGGGAGUCAGCAGUAGGGAAUCUGCGGCAAUGGGCGAAAGUCUGACCGAGUACCGCCGCGUGUGUGAAGAAUGUUUUCGGAUCGUAAAACUCUGUUGUUCGAGAAGCGGUAUCUAACCAGAAAGCCACGGCUAACUACGUGCCAGCCGCCGCGGUAAUUC